UACGAAGGGGGCUAGCGUUGCUCGGAAUCACUGGGCGUAAAGCGCACGUAGGCGGAUUCUUAAGUCAGGGGUGAAAUCCUGGAGCUCAACUCCAGAACUGCCUUUGAUACUGGGAAUCUCGAGUCCGGGAGAGGUGAGUGGAACUGCGAGUGUAGAGGUGAAAUUCGUAGAUAUUCGCAAGAACACCAGUGGCGAAGGUGGCUCACUGGCCCGGUACUGACGCUGAGGUGCGAAAGCGUGGGGAGCAAACAGG
rnacentral:rRNA from 1 species